UGACUGCUCCUACAAUGAUCU
rnacentral:siRNA from 1 species